CCUACGGGAGGCAGCAGUGGGGAAUUUUGGACAAUGGGGGCAACCCUGAUCCAGCCAUUCCGCGUGAGUGAAGAAGGCCUUCGGGUUGUAAAGCUCUUUCGCAAGGGAAGAAAACUUAUGAUCGAAUAAAUCAUGAGGUUGACGGUACCUUGAUAAGAAGCACCGGCUAACUACGUGCCAGCAGCCGCGGUAAUACGUAGGGUGCGAGCGUUAAUCGGAAUUACUGGGCGUAAAGCGUGCGCAGGCGGUUUUGUAAGUCGGAUGUGAAAUCCCCGGGCUCAACCUGGGAACUGCGUUCGAAACUGCAAGGCUAGAGUGUGUCAGAGGGGGGUAGAAUUCCACGUGUAGCAGUGAAAUGCGUAGAGAUGUGGAGGAAUACCAAUGGCGAAGGCAGCCCCCUCGGGAGUAACACUGACGCUCAUGCACGAAAGCGUGGGGAGGCAAACAGGAUUAGAUACCCUGGUAGUCCACGCCCUAAACCGAUGUCAACUAGUUGUUGGUAGAGUAAAAUCUAUGAGUAACCGUAGCUAACGCGUGAAGUUGACCGCCGUGGGGAGGUACGGUCGCGAAGUAGUAACGUUAACGAAGUAAGUUAGUUAGNGNGNGAGNGCGACGACGACGACGAGGAGGAGG
rnacentral:rRNA from 1 species